ensembl:lncRNA
CUGAAUGGACCCCUGAGCAGCCAUCAGCACGGAGACUGAUCAAAAGCUGGGGCCAUGGAGCCGUCCUGUCCCCAGGGCGAGGGUCCAGGGCAGCUUGUGCAGUCGCAUCUCUCCCCGAUUUCAUAAACACGUCACAGAACGACUGCUUCUAAUUUGGGCCUGGUCUUGUGAGGCCUGUAACACAUAGGCGUUUUAAUUUGAGCAUUCUGACAUUCGCAUCUCUUUUGUGACCCUAAAAUUGAGUUAUUAAGCAUUUGGCUUAAAAAAUACGUUGCCAGCGAGUGGACCCUGAAGAACUCCCGGCCCUUCCCUGAACCUCACACGCAGAACAGAGACACUCCCACCACCUUCCUGAAGUGCCAGUGCCAUCAGCGCUGGUGGUCACCCAUGUGCCAGGCCCUGUGCAGGGAGCUGUGCACAUGUGAGCCUGUCCACCUCUCUCAAUGACCCUGCAAGGCGGCUGUUAGGCCCAUUUUCCAGAUUCAGAGGAAAACGGUUUUUCUGUUCUCACAAUGGUGGUUCACAGUUUGUGGCUCGCUGCCCAGACUUUUAGCUCAGAGGGAAGACGUACAGGCCAGAUUCGUCCAUAAACGGCCAGUGGUGACAGAAGACCACAUGGCCUGGGAGAGGCAACGCUGAACCAGACCAACCCAGCUCACCCUGCCUGAGGCCAGCCUGAGGCAUUGUGGCCACGGCAAGUUUUUCGACAGGUUCUUCAUCUCCAGAACCGGGAGAGUUGUGCAGUUUCUACACCCUCCUCAUGCGGGAGCACCAAGAUCUGAGCACGCAGCCAGGAGACCAAGGUGCUCCUAACACUGAGCGUGCAAAACACACACAUACCCAGAGGGUGAUAAUGGAAAGCUGGGCGCCAAAGGCAGCUGGGACCUGGCUCACCGUUCCCAGUGUUGAUGACAACCAGGGACGCUGGCUGAGCGCUUCCUCUUUGCCAGGAGCUGCGCAAAGCCCUUCGCUUCCAGAAUCUCUCUGGAGCCCUGUGAGAAGCCUAGAAGGUGGAUCCAAUGAUCAUUUCCAUUUUUCAAACGAGGGCACUGAAGCUCAGAGGAGUUAAGUCACGUCUCCGGAGAUCACACAGCCACCAGGUGGCCAAGCUGGGCUUUGAACCCGACGCUGUUUGCCUCACAGUUGGGUGGUCACACGGUGUCUGCCGCCUGGUCUCCGUGCACUCAGCCGCGGGUCUCCUGUAACACAAGGUGUCUUCAUCAGUCUGUCAACUGAGGCUCUAUUCUCAGAGCUGCUUGGGGACAGAAAAUCCCACCUUGCUACACAAUUUGGCUUACAUUGAAGUCUGUCUGUUUGGGCCCCGACUUCCUUUCUCUCUCCUUUACCCUCGCCUUUCGACUUGGUUUCACUCCUCUCUCAAGAGCGGUGGAGCCUGCCUCCCGCAAACUCCUGAAUGCUGACUCAGCACCAGCACCGGUUGCCGCUUCCCCCAGGGACCACUUGGUUGGCUCUAACUUGCGCCAUAAAAUUGCCUGACCACGUCCCUGUCCCUGAGGGAAAGGGGUGAGCUUAUUGCCCAGGAGUUUCUUGAUAUUGAAAAUAUGCGCUGAGCUCAAAGACCCUCAAGCCAGUUGUUGGGGUCACUGCUUCCCAACUUCAGCUUCAAAAGGCCUGGGGAGGGCUGCCUGCCUGCCCCCUUGGAAAGGACAAUCCGAUUGUAAAUAUCAUCUGCGCUUCGAAGGACGUUCAGACGGUAAUACCCAAGCAAUUACUUUCCUUUCAAGAUCAUUAAACACAAAUCAGACUUGUAUUUUAAUAGGGCUGCCGAUGUUGUUAAUGGUGGGGGUGGCGUCCAGGGUCAGUUUUUUCCUUAAUGGCUGGAUGUUGAUGCUGCCGCCCGCCCCGAGCAGCUUCGCUGGGGGAGGCAGCUCCCUGCUUUGGAGACAUUGCACCGAGAAUCCCUCCCUUCUUCUGCCACACCACCUUCAGAGCGUUUAGGAGGACGGUGACAGCUCCCUCCACCCUCCCCUUGCCCACAGCCUCCCUCCCUCAACUUCUCCCCACCAACACGCAGGCUCCCAGGGCAGUGGUCUCUGAAAGGAAUGAACAGCGGAGGCUCCACUCUCACCACCGGGCUCCCAGCUCCCUUCUAUCUUCCUCCUACUUUAUGGAACAGAGAUGCUGAAAGAUGCUGUCCGGAAGGCCUGGGUCCGCUGCUCACACCCUGGGCAGAGGGACGGGCCUGCAGAGGGAACGGUGGAGCUGCUCUCCUCCUCCGACUCCCCAGUCUCAGAGUGGAACCUCUGAGACCACGGAGGGACAAGCUGCUGCCAGGUGGAAGCUGGGCUCUGAAGUCUGUGGACGGCCCCUGGAAGGACGUGCGCCCGAUGUGCUGACUGCAGAGGUGGGGGGACCAUCCCUCGCCCAGCUCGCCCUGCCACUGCUGUCACCUUGCUGAUGGUGACACAGCAGGACCCCCCUCCACCCGGCACCCAGUGAGUGUGACCCGAGUGGCUGCCCGUGGAGUGAGGUGUCAGGUUCCCCU